rnacentral:tRNA from 1 species
ACUAUUUUGACAGAUAAGUGUAGUAGAUUUAGAAUCUAUAAAUGUAAUUAUUAUUACAAAUAGUA